rnacentral:rRNA from 1 species
GACGAACGCUGGCUGCGUGCCUAAUACAUGCAAGUAGAACGCAGUUGUGAACGGGUGAGUAACGCGUAGGUUACCCUCCUAAUAGCGGGCGAUAACUAUUGGAAAAGAUAGCUAAUACCGCAUAAUGUGAGAUGGACCUGCGUUGUAUAAGCUAGUUGGUGAGGUAAAGGCUCACCAAGGUGACGAUACAUAGCCGACCUGAGAGUGUAACCGGGAACAGUGGGAUUGAGACGCGUCAAAGAAUCCUACGGACGACAGCAGGAGGGAAUCUUCGGCAAUGGACGAAUGGCAGACCGAGCAACGCCGGGUGGGUGAAGAAGAGUUUCGGAUCGUAAAGCUCUGUUGUUAGAGAAGGGAAAGCGAACCAGAAAGGGACGGCGAACUACGUGCCAGCAGCCGCGGUAAUAC